CUAAAACUUCCAAACAGAUAAGCGCUGAGAAUUUAUGGAAUUACAAAUAACUAAAAGAGAACCAAACUAUUAAGAAUGUACAUCAACGUACGAGGAAAAAUUUUCAGACUAUUCACGACAAUCUUUCUAUAUCUUUAUUCUUUAACAAAUAGGAAGCUCUACCCAGCAACGCCUUCAAUCAAUCACGAAAUAAAAAAAGGAGGGGUCCAUGUUCUUGCAAGACUUGCAAAACUUUUAGCACUGUCAUAGUUGGAUGGAUGAGGAACUGAACUCGAAUAGCUUAUGAGAAUAUCACAUAAGCUUACUCUCAAACUAACUUCCACGAGAUUUCUGCAUUGCUUUCAUGUAAUGGAAGACCAAGAUUUAUAGGAUGGAAGGAGUUUGUUGCAGAUAAGGCAAACUACAUAUCAGAUAUCAGGUAAAAGAGGAUAAUAAUGGUGACAGCAAGAUGGAAGAUGAUUCAAAAUGCAGGCUGUCUAUCCAUGAUUAAUUAAUUAUCAUAAAAAAAAAUCUCCUCUACCAUCCCAGGGUCAACUUUCAAAUGAUUUUCCAACCAUGCUGCCCUUCAAUUUAUAGUUCCAUCCCCACACUUAUACUCUGGAAAGUAGUUGACAAAUGUUUUGCUUCCAAGUUCGUCAACUCCAUUGAAGAGGAAGUUUCUAAUU
rnacentral:lncRNA from 1 species